CUGUAACCAUGCUGAAAGAAGUAUUUGUGCUUGGAUGCCUCCUGAGCCUCGCUCUGGCUCAACCUUUGGGCAUGGAGCACAAACGACUUGCUCGGUCAAGGUCUGACUCUGACUCUAACUCGGAUUCCAAUGAGGGUACCGCAACAACAAAUAACCAGGCUGCUUUGCAACAGUUGCUUCAAUUCUUAAUUACCCAGCUCAUAAACCAACAGACCACUACU